rnacentral:rRNA from 1 species
AUUGAACGCUGGCGGCAGGCCUAACACAUGCAAGUCGAGCGGAUGAAGGGAGCUUGCUCCUGGAUUCAGCGGCGGACGGGUGAGUAAUGCCUAGGAAUCUGCCUGGUAGUGGGGGAUAACGUCCGGAAACGGGCGCUAAUACCGCAUACGUCCUGAGGGAGAAAGUGGGGGAUCUUCGGUCCUCACGCUAUCAGAUGAGCCUAGGUCGGAUUAGCUAGUUGGUGGGGUAAAGGCCUACCAAGGCGACGAUCCGUAACUGGUCUGAGAGGAUGAUCAGUCACACUGGAACUGAGACACGGUCCAGACUCCUACGGGAGGCAGCAGUGGGGAAUAUUGGACAAUGGGCGAAAGCCUGAUCCAGCCAUGCCGCGUGUGUGAAGAAGGUCUUCGGAUUGUAAAGCACUUUAAGUUGGGAGGAAGGGCAGUAAGUUAAUACCUUGCUGUUUUGACGUUACCAACAGAAUAAGCCCCGGCUAACUUCGUG